UGGGAACUCUUGUGUUUUGCCAACUAACCU
rnacentral:piRNA from 1 species